AGCCAGUGCCAGUGGUGGGUUUGAGCAGGGAACCAGCAACCAGUGGUGGGUUUGAGCAGGGAACCAGCAAUACUCAAGCUCUGCUUGGAUGGAGGCCAGUCAGGGAGGAGUUAGGGCAGGAGGACCAGUCAGGGAGGAGACUUAGGGCAGGAGGACCAGUCAGGGAGGAGACUUAGGGCAGGAGGACCGGUCAGGGAGGAGACUUAGGGCAGGAGUACUGGUCAGGGAGGAGACUUAGGGCAGGAGGACCGGUCAGGGAGGAGACUUAGGGCAGGAGGACCGGUCAGGGAGGAGACUUAGGGCAGGAGGACCGGUCAGGGAGGAGUUAGGGCUGGAGGACGGGUCAGGGAGGAGACUUAGGGCAGGAGGACCGGUCAGGGAGGAGUUAGGGCUGGAGGACCGGUCAGGGAGGAGUUAGGGCAGGAGGACUGGUCAGGGAGGAGUUAGGGCUGGAGGACGGGUCAGGGAGGAGUUAGGGCUGGAGGACCGGUCAGGGAGGAGUUAGGGCAGGAGGACAGGUCAGGGAGGAGUUAGGGGAGGAGGACCGGUCAGGGAGGAGUUAGGGCAGGGGGAUUGGUCAGGGAGGAGUUAGGGCAGGAGGACGGGUCAGGGAGGAGUUAGGGGAGGAGGACUGGUCAGGGAGGAGUUAGGGCUGGAGGACCGGUCAGGGAGGAGUUAGGGCAGGAGGACCGGUCAGGGAGGAGUUAGGGCUGGAGGACCGGUCAGGGAGGAGUUAGGGCAGGAGGACCGGUCAGGGAGGAGUUAGGGCAGGAGGACCGGUCAGGGAGGAGACUUAGGGCAGGAGGACUGGUCAGGGAGGAGUUAGGGCUGGAGGACCGGUCAGGGAGGAGUUAGGGCAGGAGGACUGGUCAGGGAGGAGUUAGGGCAGGAGGACAGGUCAGGGAGGAG
rnacentral:lncRNA from 1 species